AGUCACAGGCUGCUCAGAAGUUUACUGCUGGACAGCGCUCUAUAAUCUUUGAGGGAAAUAAUUCACUGCUGUUUUUGAUGCCAACGUUUCUCUCUGUGGAACAACCUACUUGUAAUCCACACUUUCUUGUACUGCCAAAACAGAAUAGUUGAAUUCCUAAUAUAUACUUUAUAUAUAAUUAGUAUGUAGUGUGGAACGGGGAUGUAGCAGAAAGGACGGGAAAAACAUGAGGAAAAAAAACAGUUUAGCCUUUUAAAGCUUUGGAUGGAGAGGCGAAAAGAAUCAAAACAGAAUCAAAGUGAACAAAAAAGAGAAGAGCGGUUAAAAUGAAAUAUCCAAAGUCUUUAUCAAGUUUCUGGACACUUACAUUUUGAACAUACAUGCAUAAGAACAUAUGAAAGACAUUGUUUUACUUUAUUAACUUAAUCUCCUACCUCAUUCAGUUCUAUACACCCCUACCAUCAAUUGCAUGUUGUUGUCAUGGCUUAUUAUGUAUUGUCGUUUAUGAACAUUGAUGAUCUGUAUUUAAUAGUACAGAUCAUCUGGACAGAAUCUGGGGUUGUUUUUUUCUUACAGAAAUUGCCAUUGGUUUUUGUGUUUGUUUGGGAAAGAUCCAGAAGUAGUUUUUUUUAUAAUUAUCCGAAUAAUAAAACUUAAGCAUAAGUCUAGUGCCUGUCCAUAAUUUUUUUUUCAAGCCAACAAAACCUUGAUUGUCCAUUGAUCCAGGCUAGCAUCAAGCUUAUUGGAUUGUCCAAUCAGUAGUUUAGUACCAUCAAACUUUCAAUAGCCCGGGCUUUUAUUUGCUAUUAUCACUGAACUCACCCUGCCUAUAUUUGGGACAGGCCUUUAAUUCCUUUUGCCCAAAACUGUUGCUCAGCAAAGAUGGGAUAUAGGCUACUAUCUAUAUAAUUCUAUUCUAUUACUCAUCGAAAAACCAACCGACCAUAUCGGUAAAUCUGAAUGAAUAAUACAGGCUGAAGAUAAUUGCGCGGGAAUGAUUGUCCGUGGCACGCGAGCGUUUGCCGUGAGUCACGUUUGAUUACCUGCAGCCUGAGCAAAUAAAGUGCCAGAACAACACAACGUAAAUAACAUCAGCUGGAAAGUAAGCACAUUUACAUAUUGUACUCUUUACUCCACUAUAUUUAUCUUACAGCUUUAGUUACUUUGUAGAUUCCGAUUAACAAUGCAACACAUAAUACAUAAUGUUAUCACUCCUCUGUGUGUGUGUGUGUGUCCAUCAGUGUGUCAGCGUGUCCUGUAGCCCAUCUUGCCUGUUGUUAGACAUUGUGCUUGAAAUAAUCGAAAUGCAGUAAAAUUAUUAAAACAAGAUAUUGUUUUCUCCUAUUGGAAUCUUAAAAGGCUCCAAAUGGCUUCAUUUGCAUAUUAAAAUCAUUCAGAUGUUCUUCCAGCAGAGAAUACCCCAGAACUCCCUGACUUUAUUUUAUUUUCAUGUCACCUUUUUCACUACUCUAGAGUUUGCAGGUCUGACUGACACGGGGUUGACAUGUUCCUUCAUUACACACAGCAGUUUAUUUAGACUUAGACUUUAAUGUGGAAUGAAAGAAGGCAGACAUUAUAGUCUGUGCACCUGGACAAGAAAGAUGUUUUUUACAGUGAUUCUACCAAAUUUUAUGGCAGAUUUCCCAAAUUUGUCAGAUUAAGAAGCUCAGGGAUCGGCCAAGGCUGCAUGACACAACAGUUUGUCUCAACAUCUGGACACUUUAAACAUAGAGAAGAUGGAUGAAAAAAUGGCUUUUAACUUCUCUUAACUUCUUCUUUUUCUGAAAUUCAGCCCAGACCAUGAAUCAGCCUCUCAUUUCCAGCCUCACAUGCUAUAAUCCCUGCAGCAGCCAAUCUCACAGACACACUCACUAAUCAGGCUGCUCAUAAUUUGCCUCUCUGUGCAGUUCAUCCAGCCAAAAUGCACAAUUGCAAAAAUGUCCAAAAGGAGGCAAGUAUUGCUGUUGGACAUCCAAGCCAGUGUAAUAGGUAUUUUAACAGGAUAGUGUCUGUGCUUAUUUGCAAUGCCCCAUCAGGUGAAUUUAAAUUAGUUUUAGUUUUGUUGGCAUAUCCUCUACAUGUCAGGGCCACAUUUUCUACAGCCAUGCUGUGAAUUAGUGGAUUUGACCAGGGUUGGACAAGCUUCAGGCACACCCAAAAUACACACUGCUGAUAAUUCCGUCCACGUGUUUUGGUGAUAAAAUGUAAAUUUUUCACCAUCAUCAACACAUAACCUGCUUCCACUGUUUCCCAGAGGAGGAAGUGUUUUCUCAGCAUGGUGUGUGUGCGUGUCUGAUAAAGAGUGUGAUAGCAGUAAAAGUGUAGUAUAGUCUUGGUGUGUGCACAUGAAUGUGUGUUGGUCACAUGAGGACCAUCUAUCUCUAUCACACAGACCCACCCAGGCCUGCCAUGGCUAAUAAGAGCAGCUCUCUCUUUUUGGCCCUCUCUCCUUCUCUCAAAGAGAGAGAGAAAAAGUGAACACUUUGACAAGCCCUCUCUCCCUCCCUCCCUCCCUCCCUCUAUGGAAGUAGUCUGGAGGAGGAUGAAAGGUCAGAGUCAGAAAAGGUUUUAAGACAAACAUUUAUGGUGCUCAAUAGGUCUUCACACAUGUAUCCCUACUCACACUGGCUCCUAAAGGAUAAUUCCAGUGUGGCUAAAUCUAUGAAAUUAAGCCUAGUUAAAUCAAAUUACCUACAUCAUCAAAUAGCAUCUAAUUUCUUUAACAAUCACUCCAUGUAGUCUUCCACAAUGUGCCUAGUUGUGACUUCUCUGCCCUAUCAAUGUGAGUGCAUAAUCUGUCAGUUCACCCUGCCUCUCCACUGUGGUCCUCAUGUAUUUUUUCUUAUAAUUUUGAGCUGAGAAUAGCAGCCAGCAGUCACAACUGUCACAGGAACUGACUGAAGUCCCCUCUGGAAGGUCCCCCAUGAGCGUUUAGCUAGACCCAGAGGUGUUUUCAAUAUGGGUCACUUAGUGUGCUUUUCACUUGGUGCAUUAAAUCAGUGAUUAAUUAAGGGUAUUUUUAAAAACCUAUGCUGAGGUGUAAUAGUGCUACCCUCAACCACAACCCAUCAAAUAUCAAUUUUUUUGUAUUGAUCACAAAUUAAAAUGACUGCAAAUAUUUUAGACACAGAAACUGUUUUUCCAGACUAGUAGAUCCAGACAGUUUCUGCUUUGGGUAGAAAACUUGACAAAACUACAAAGUCUCUAUUUUGUGAGUAAACCCAACUUUGAAUCACUCCUCAGUGGUGCUCAGGUAAUAGCUGGGUGAGUCUCAUUUUGCCAUGUGUGUUGAAGAAAGCCGCCGAUCACCUGCACAGCAGCGUGGGUGACAGCAAUGUCAUUGUACCUCUGUUCCAGUGUGUUCCUCUGUUCAGGGUAAAAAAUGAGGUGUCACAGUCAAUUGGCCCACGCUUUUCACAAUACAGCGCAGACCACACUCUGGCUUACUCGCCGCUGAGGUGAGUACAGGAUUCCCAAGUGUACGCCUGAGUUCUUCACUUCCUGGAUCUUCAGCCAAACUUCUCUGGAACCUGGACCUCACCAGCUUCUACCUGCCUGUCCCCUGCUCAAACCAAGCCGUACCUGCCUUCACCAUCGCUGCACAUUUUUGUAAUAAAGUCUGUUAACCUUA